rnacentral:lncRNA from 1 species
UAAGCAAGCUACUUACCGCAGAGCCAUUCCUAUACCUAUACUUACCACAGAGCCAUUUCUACUCCCAUACUGAAUAAUAUGCAGAGAACUCUCUUUUGAAAUACUAAAAUGCUUUGAAGAAAAUCUCAUAGCUUUUGGAAGUAUUGAAAGUAGUAAAAGAGCAUGGACAUUUCUUUUGCCUCUUGAUGCAAAUCUACUGAUGAUUUAAAUCUACUGAUUGUUUACAGAAUUCUUAAACACUUGCUGUGGAAAAAAUUUUGAAAAUCCAGCACUUAAGAUGUAAGUGACUCAGUUCUUACCAUUUAUACAAUGGAUCUGUGCCAGAAGUUUAGCAUUAUUUUACAAUAGGUAGCUGAUUUUUCAAAGUAAUUGAAGUCUGCCAGUAAGUAGUUGGCUACUGGAUAUACAAUAUAACAGUGGUCCCCAAACUUUUUUGGUAUACCUUCCCCAUGGCACCUAGCCCACAACCUUAGUCUCCCUUCCUACUCAUCAUCUCAAGCAGAGACCAUCCUCUGAAGCAAAUUCAAACACAAUUUGUAUUUCACAAAUACAACUUAAUCUAAUUAUUUAGUGCUUUAUACAUCCAUCAUCUACUUUUGGCCACCAUAUAAUCACCCCUGAUUUCUUCAAUGAACCCUGCUGGAUCUUUCUACCACCCCCAGUGGUUUGGCACUGCCCACUUUGGGAACCACUGCGAUAUAGUAAUAGACCAGUGAUUUCAUGAUAAAGGGAGAUAAUGUUAACAGUAACGUGGUUUGCUGCAGCAGAGAGAAAAACACAAAGAAGUAAAUAUACAAAAUCUAGAAAGUUAGAACAUAUUGUAAUUAACUUUAUAAAUAGAUGUAACAUACAAGAAAAGAAAAUGGUAUUAAAGUGAAUAAAUAAUCUUUAGUAUAUACUUGUAAAUAUUUACAGAUACAAACAGAAUAACUUUUAGAAAUAAAGGCACUAAAAAUAAGGACUGAUAUACUGUUUAUUUAUAAGUUGACAGAUGGUAAAUCAUCCCCAAUUUAUCUUUGAAAUGUAGAGUUGUACAUCUUUUCUAUUUUUCUCUCUGAUUCUUAAUUUAAUUGG